ACGCCAGUAGUUCAAUUGGUAGAGCAUCGGUCUCCAAAACCGAGGGUUGAGGGUUCGAGUCCUUCCUGGCGUG
rnacentral:tRNA from 1 species